rnacentral:rRNA from 1 species
UAUCAAUAAGCGGAGGAAAAGAAACUAACAAGGAUUCCCCUAGUAACUGCGAGUGAAGCGGGAAAAGCUCAAAUUUAAAAUCUGGUGGUCUUUGGCCAUCCGAGUUGUAAUUUAGAGAAGCGUCUUCCGCGCUGGACCGUGCACAAGUCUCCUGGAAUGGAGCGUCAUAGAGGGUGAGAAUCCCGUCUUUGGCACGGAUGUACCAGGGCUUUUGUGAUGCGCUCUCGAAGAGUCGAGUUGUUUGGGAAUGCAGCUCAAAAUGGGUGGUGAACUCCAUCUAAAGCUAAAUAUUGGCGAGAGACCGAUAGCGAACAAGUACCGUGAGGGAAAGAUGAAAAGCACUUUGGAAAGAGAGUGAAACAGUACGUGAAAUUGUUGAAAGGGAAACGCUUGAAGUCAGUCGCGUCGACCGAGACUCAGCCUUGCCUCGGCUUGGUGUACUUCUCGGCUGACGGGUCAGCAUCAAUUUUGCCCCUUGGAUAAUGGCGAGGGAAAUGUGACACCUUUACGGUGUGUUAUAGUCUUUCGUCGCAUGCAAGGGUCGGGAUUGAGGAACUCAGCACGCGCCCUCGGGCGUCGGGGUUUUCGCCCACGAUACGUGCUUAGGAUGUUGGCGUAAUGGCUUUAAACGACC